CAGUCGCCACGGGAAUACGUAGGGCGCAAGCGUUAUCCGGAACUAUUGGGCGUAAAGAGCUCGUAGGCGGUUUGUCGCGUCUGCCGUGAAAGUCCGGGGCUCAACCCCGGAUCUGCAGUGGGUACGGGCAGACUAGAGUGAUGUAGGGGAGACUGGAAUUCCUGGUGUAGCGGUGAAAUGCGCAGAUAUCAGGAGGAACACCGAUGGCGAAGGCAGGUCUCUGGGCAUUAACUGACGCUGAGGAGCGAAAGCAUGGGGAGCGAACAGGAUUAGAUACCCGUGUAGUCCCUGUCUCUUAUAC
rnacentral:rRNA from 1 species